UCCAGGAAGCAUUUUCAAAGCUAGUUCUAAGAGCCUUUACUGCAUGACCACAGAGAGUCGGACAAGUUAGGUGAAGUAAGUGCGUGUACUAGACACAUCUAAAGCAUACAUCUAUUUUUAAUGCCUGAGCAAAUGUUUAAGGUCCAAAAUGUUGAAAUGUUGCAUCUUUUUUUCCACUAAUAGUUUUCAGGAGUGAGCAGAACCAGAACUGCAAAAACAAUGCAAGAUUAUUUUAAACAGAUUUCCCUUCUGGUUCUAUAAGAUAAACAGGUUUAGAAAUUUGUGCUAAAUUCUGCAUUUCUGGAGGCUCAUGGAAGCUGGAAUCAACCCCUUUUGAAACCUGCCCUGCUAUCUACUUGUGUUCCAGUAAGAUCGCAAAUUGGCUGCUGCUUCCAAGGCUAAGCCAAAGUCCAGCUGCAAAUGUGAGGUGCUGAAGAUCUGCCUUAAGGUUCUGCAGCUUGCAUUGGCCCCAAACUUCUAGGAAACUUGGUGUAUUGACUGAUGGGAGACCACUCUUGGAUUUUUACUGAACUUGACCUUCUUUCCCUCUCCUUCUGUAAAUUGCCUGACACACUGCUCCACCACCACUGCACACCUUCUGAUGUUCUUCUGCCUUCAUUUCAGAAGCUUCUUCCAAUGAGCAUGCUGUUCUCACCAGGAAAGAACAACCCUACCCUCCCUCCAGUAAGAUCCACAUGACCUCAGUUACAGCGGCAAGGGC